GACGUAGGGCGCGAGCGUUGUCCGGAUUUAUUGGGCGUAAAGAGCUCGUAGGCGGCUUGUCGCGUCGGGAGUGAAAUCCACUGGCUUAACUGGUGGCUUGCUUUCGAUACGGGGCAGACUGGAGGUAUGGCAGGGGAGAACGGAAUUCCUGGUGUAGCGGUGAAAUGCGCAGAUAUCAGGAGGAACACCGGUGGCGAAGGCGGUUCUCUGGGCAUGUCCUGACGCUGAGGAGCGAAAGUGUGGGGAGCGAACGG
rnacentral:rRNA from 1 species